GUGGGGAAUAUUGGGCAAUGGGCGAAAGCCUGACCCAGCAACGCCGCGUGAAGGAAGAAGGCCUUCGGGUUGUAAACUUCUUUUAUGAGGGACGAAGGACGUGACGGUACCUCAUGAAUAAGCCACGGCUAACUACGUGCCAGCAGCCGCGGUAAUACGUAGGUGGCAAGCGUUGUCCGGAUUUACUGGGUGUAAAGGGCGCGUAGGCGGACUGGCAAGUCAGAUGUGAAAUCCAUGGGCUCAACUCAUGAACUGCAUUUGAAACUGUUGGUCUUGAGUGUAGGAGAGGCAAGCGGAAUUCCUAGUGUAGCGGUGAAAUGCGUAGAUAUUAGGAGGAACACCAGUGGCGAAGGCGGCUUGCUGGACGAUAACUGACGCUGAGGCGCGAAAGCGUGGGGAGCAAACAGGAUUAGAUACCCUUGUAGUCC
rnacentral:rRNA from 1 species